UGUUCAUCAAAAUCACAGUCAACCUUGAAAUAAAAUGAGGUCAAAUCACCCUUGGCUGUACAUGCAGUUAUUAGUAAGCACAGUUUGUUGUAUUUAUGGUAGACGCGACAAACUGUUGUUCUCCACUGCAAAUACAAUGAAAGAGAUAGAUCUGGAUACAGGAGUGGUAAAAGAACUAGCUAAUCAAAGUACAAUAGCAUAUUCAUUAGCUUACGAUGUGAAAGAAAGAUAUGUGUAUGUUCUAAGACUUGAUGAAAAUGUCAUAGUUAGAUUCCCUUAUCCAAAUGACCAAACUUUAAAUUUUGAAAUUGUUGUUUCUUCUACAAACAGUCCAUUAUCCGCAGCAUUUGACUCAGCGAACAGUCAUCUAUACUGGACAGAGUAUACAUAUUCAGGAAAAAUUAUGAGAUGUAAUUCAGAUGGAUCCGAUUUAACCACUAUUUUUAAUGAAUCUAGGCCGAUUGCACUUACAUUAGACACGCAUAAUAGAUGGAUCUACUAAAGUAAAGAAGCAAGUAAUGCAAUGCACAGGGUGACAUUUGACGGAAAAGAAAAACAGGUAGUAUUAAACCUGGCAGCACGACCGAUAGAUAUACUAGUAGAUUUUGUUGACAAGCGAGUUUAUUGGAUGGGAUUUGACAACGGUGACUUGAAAUCUGCUUUGUAUAAUGGUUCUGAUGUCAAAACAUUGGUUAGCACCAAUGCACAAUACGUUAACCGGGAAAUUGACAUCGGUGGUGAAUACAUCUUCUAUACAAGUUCUAAUAAAAUUCUAAAGAUACACAAAUCUUCAGGACAAAUCCCAGCUGUUGUGCACACAGAAACAACACAGAUUUAUGGAGUUUUAAUUUAUAAACAGGAAGGUAAGAAUAUAUCAGUAAAUAAGCAAAUAAACUUUAUCUAUCCUUCAUUAUUCAAAUUGUAACUCAAACUCGUCGUGUUAAAUGAAAAUAAAAUGGGGGAAAGCAGACACCGAUAAAUUAAUAUAUCUGAGAUGUAUGUUAGAAUAUUUCAUCUAUUAAAUUGUUAUUUUUUUUUUCAAUAUUAUACCUUUUGAUUGAUACCAUUUCUAUUAUUAUGUUAUAACAUUAAUUAGUUG